AGGACGAACGCUGGCGGCGUGCUUAACACAUGCAAGUCGAACGGUAAGGCCCUUCGGGGUACACGAGUGGCGAACGGGUGAGUAACGCGUGAGUAACCUGCCCUUCACUCUGGGAUAACAGUUGGAAACGGCUGCUAAUACCGGAUAUUCAGCUCCUGUCGCAUGGUGGGGGUUGGAAAGUUUUGGUGGUGGAGGAUGGGCUCGCGUCCUAUCAGCUUGUUGGUGGGGUGAUGGCCUACCAAGGCGUCGACGGGUAGCCGGCCUGAGAGGGCGACCGGCCACAUUGGGACUGAGAUACGGCCCAAACUCCUACGGG
rnacentral:rRNA from 1 species